rfam:Vigna angularis cultivar Jingnong 6 scaffold307_2, whole genome shotgun sequence.
AGAGAGUGAUGCAGCCAAGGAUGACUUGCCGGCGUUACACUGCAUGCUCUUCACGGUAACUUUGUCGGCAAGUGGUUCUUGGCUACGUUUGGCUCUUU